rnacentral:rRNA from 1 species
CCUACGGGUGGCUGCAGUAAGGAAUAUUGGUCAAUGGACGAAAGUCUGAACCAGCCAUGCCGCGUGGAGGAUGAAGGUCCUCUGGAUUGUAAACUUCUUUUAUAUGGGACGAAAAAAGGCUUUUCUAAGUCGUCUGACGGUACCAUAUGAAUAAGCACCGGCUAACUCCGUGCCAGCAGCCGCGGUAAUACGGAGGGUGCAAGCGUUAUCCGGAUUCAGGGGGUGUAGGUGGGGCGGAAAUGGAUUGGUGAAAUCCCCGAGCUUAACUUGGGAACUGCCAUUGAUACUAUCAGUCUUGAAUACCGUGGAGGUCAGCGGAAUAUGUCAUGUAGCGGUGAAAUGCUUAGAUAUGACAUAGAACACCAAUUGCGAAGGCAGCUGGCUACCCGAAUAUUGACACUGAGGCACGAAAGCGUGGGGAUCAAACAGGAUUAGAUACCCUAGUAGUC